CCGAUACUAAUUAAUUUAAUUAAAAUUUUUGAAAUUCAAUUCAUUAACUAAUUUAAUAUAACAUCUUGUAUUAUAGAAUAAACUAAGUUUAAGAUAAGAAAAACAAGAAGAAUCAAAUUUGGAAAUAAGGAAGGAAAUCUGGAUUUCAAAUGUGAGUUUUGUUCAUUUUCAACGGUCAUAACUCCAAGCUCAGGAAAAGUUUGUAUGAGUUAUUUAUAUGCAUGGAAACAUCGUCGGAAGAUCUUUUCAACGACGUCAAGUUUGCAAAUUCUGAGGUUGUAUGAGAAAGAUAUGACUUUCGGAAGUUGGGUUGUUGAGCAGGAAAAGUUCCAAAUUCGGAUUUGUUAAGGGUGUUUUUUUUUUCUUCUAAAUUUAUUAUAUUUUUGUUUUAGGGGUAAUAAGUUGGGGUCUAAGUUGAUCCCAAUUAGUUUUCACAUUUAGAAAAUAAGCUAUGACUUGGAGAGAAAAGAGAAAAAGAGGAGAAGGGAGAAGAAGAUGCAAGAACGCCAAGAAUUCGUUCGUGGAUUUCGUCUGGGUUGAUCCCUAACAAGACGCAGGUAAUUGGGAUCAGUAGGCGGCGUUUCGUUGAUCCAGAUUGAGCUGCAGAGUCAGUGGUGAGCCUCCUUGCAUUUCAGAGGACAUCCAUUUCUUUUGUUUUUAGUAGUUUAGUUUUAUGAUGUCGUGGGACUGUCCCAACAUCCUUCUUCAGUCAGUUUAAAGGCUUCAUAGACACUAGUAUUUCAGUUCAGAGUUUAUUGUUGCUUGUUGAAACUCGAUUGCCGUCAUGGCCAGAUAUCAUAAAAUACUUUCCUUUAA